GCAGUGGCAGGACUUGAUGACAGCAAAGCCGCCCAUGGCUGGCCCUGGGGCUCCCCUUUAAAACAAAGACCGGUUACUUUGGAGACAAGCACAGAUAACCAGGCUUCAGGCUACUGUUGAAACCUCUGGAGUGUCUGGGACCUGAGACUGCUCCCACAAUGUGGCAACACUUGUGCAAUAAUGAAGGGAAAGGAGGCUGGGGAGGGAGGCUGCCCGCCAGCCCCCACUAGCUGAGCUCCACUGGCCUGCUUCUUUCCAAGGCAGGCAGCUGAUAUGAACCAUAUAAGGCCCCAUGAGAAAGGCCAUGAAAGAUCGUUACUGCUGCUCUGCUUGUGGGGAAGCUGGCCCAGAGAGGUUAAGUGACUCAUCUUGGGUCACAAAGCCUUUCAAGACCAGCUGCACAUUGAUCAUGUCUGCCACCUGCAAAGAAGCCUGGAGAUGCCAUGGGCCUGAAGUCCACAAAAGGCUGUCGUGUAGAAGCAAUAGUGCACUCUGCACAAGUGUCAGGCUCUGGAGACAGGGCUGUCCAGACCCAAAUCUUGUUCCUACCACCCUCAAGUUGUAGGACACAUGGCUUAAUCCAUGAGACUCACUCUCCUCCUUCAAAAACUGGGGAAAAUAUUACUCACUUCAUGAGGGUUUUGGAAAAUUAUAUAUUUCUCUUUCUUUCAAUAAACAUGUAUUGAGAUU